GAAAGACUCUCGGCAACGGAUAUCUCGGCUCUUGCAUCGAUGAAGAACGUAGCGAAAUGCGAUACUUGGUGUGAAUUGCAGAAUCCCGUGAACCAUCGAGUCUUUGAACGCAAGUUGCGCCCGAAGCCAUUAGGCUGAGGGCACGCCUGCCUGGGUGUUGCA
rnacentral:rRNA from 3 species